rnacentral:lncRNA from 10 species
GCCAGGUCCACCCAGCUGGCACCACACGGCCAGCAAAUGGCCCGUGAAUAAAUCACAGUGGGUGGCCAGGAUGGACACACUGGAUGUUUCAGUGGACACAACCAGCCUUCAAGAAGCAUGUGGACCUAGAGAAAGCUCUGCCACCUACAUGCCAGCGCAUGUUCAUGCUGAGAACUGCAGGGAAAAAAGAAAUGGCUUAUAUUGACUGACUACCAUCAAUGUGCCAGAGAGGUCUUCUUAUCUCAUCUUAGAGGUGAGAGAACAAGUCAACCCGCUGGUAAAUGGGCCAAUCAGAAAUGAAAUCAGCUCAUCACCAGUUCCAGUCACUUUUCCAUUUUGAAAAGCCUCCUGCAUCAUUCUCUGCACAUAUGCAGCAGAUAUAGACACCCAAGCACACCCCUAAGGAGACAGCCCACUUGGACUCAAGGACAUUCCCUGUGGCAGCUCUCUGAAGACAGAAUUAUUUCUUUGGCAGAGAAAAGCAUGCUGUUCCUUAAGAGGACAUUAGAGGAGAACAACUUUUCUCCCUACUGAACCCUUUGCACAAAUAUCUUCUAGAAGGACUUGUUCCUCACCCACUGGCCCUUGAUUCUGUCUCACUAUUGAAUGAGGCUUUUCCACCAAACAGCUUUAAGGAUGGAUGUGUGCUCUGGAGAGAGCAAGAAACAUGUGAGAGCCGGUUUGCUUUCUGUGGGUCAGCCAACGUCUCCGCCAGUCCUAUGACUGUCAUUUCACUGAGGAUUGAUAUGCCUGAAGUCACUACAAAAACAAAUGAUGCUCUGAAGCUCAUUCCGCCCUUGCACAAAGAAGCCAAAAAAAUAGGGCUCUAAUUUAUUUUAGAAUUGGCAUAAUGAGACAAAAGAGUCCACUGUGGGAAAUUUUUGCUUAUGCAAUGAAAUUUUUACUCUCCAGCUCUUUAACAAUUAAUAUUUUUUUUAAUUUUGACUUUUAUGAAUGAACAACCAAUGGGAUUACGGUUGGGAGGUAGUAGAGUUUUUAAACAGCUAAUGAAGUCCACUACCAAUAAUGGCAGACUCCCCAAGCUCAGACCUCUGCUCUGCCAGUUGACUGCCUAUGUUUUCUGGGAUGAGCUGUUUAGCCUCUCUGCUACACAAAUUCUUCACCUGUAAAAUGUAGACAAUAAAAAGUCCUGCCUCAACUACUGUGGUAAUGAUUAAGUGUGUUAAUAUGGAUGCCAAGUGGUUAGCACAGUCCCUAGCUUAAAGCAAGGGCUCAAAAUCAAGCUUUAGUUAUAAAUAAUAUUGUUAAGAUUUCUUAAAUAAUGUGUCAGAAUCCAAGAUCCCUUAAAGAAAUCUUCUAAAGUAUAUUUAAUUAUUUGUCAGAGUGCAAGAUCCUUUAAAGAAGUCUGUUUACCCGAUCUUUUUUGAAACCAUCAGCCUAUCUGAGAAGGCCAACAGUCGCCCAUUAUGGAGAAUUAACACAAAAUUUAUCAGCAGAAGUUAUUUUUCAUGAAUAUUAUAACUUCCAAUUAUGCUAAAAGCUUGUCUAUUUUAACUCACUUUGAUGUUAGCUGUGAAGUUCCAUGUUUCCCUGUCAACUAAUCAGCAUUGUUACAAUCAGGACAAUGUGGGUCUAUCCCUCAGGGUUUGGUGACCAAAGUCACUGUUUUUAAAGGGAGUGUUGCCCUCAGAAAGAAGAAUAAAAACAAAUUCUUAAUAAACAAU